rnacentral:rRNA from 1 species
UUAAAAAGUGUAUUGUUAGUAGUGUAUUUUAGGUAAUUUUGAAAUUAUUUUUUGGGAAGAAUAUUUUGUACAAUAGUUUAUAGGUACCGCAAGGGAGAUUUGAAAAAUUGAAAAUUUUAUUAGGGAGAAGUUAGUAAAAUUGUACCUUUUGUAUAAGGGUUAAAUAAAAAUUAUUAUAGAUUUAAAUUUCCCGAAAAGUUUUGAGCUACUUAGAAAAUUUUGUAUAUUUCAUAAUGCAAAUAUAUUUUAUAGUAGGGAUGAAAUUUUACGCGUAAAAUUUGAUAUCUGGUUAAGUGUAAAGACUAUAUGUUUUUGUAUAGGAUUACAAAUAUUUUAAUUGUCUAUAUUUUUUGCUCUUAGGGAUAAGCUUGAGAGCUUGACAUAAAUUAGGUUUUGACAGAGAUAUAAGGUUUAAAAUUUACUUUUUUGUAAUAAAAGAGUUUUUGGUGAAAAAAAAUUGUUUUUUUUUUGAUGUUAUAUUUAAUUUUUGUGUAAAAGUGUUUAUGUUUGAAUGAGUAUAAGUUAAGUUGAAAUUUGUGUUUAAAGUUUUAUGUAAUAAAGGUAUUAAAAAAAGAAGAACUCGGCAAAAGUUUUUUCUGAAUGUUUAUCAAAAACAUUGUAUUUUGAGGUGAUAAAAUAUAAAACCUGCUCAAUGAAGGUUAAAUUGCUGUGGUAUUAUGACUAUACGAAGGUAUUGAAAUAAGGCUUUAAAUGGGUACUAAGAGAAUGGUUUAACAGAGAUUAACUUUUUUUUUUUUUAAAAUAAAAUUUAAUAUAAAAAUGAAAAAGUUUUUAUGAAAUUUUGGGACAAGAAGACCCUAUGAAUUUUUUUAGAACUAGUUCUUAAUAAAUUUUUAAGAAAAAAGGAAAGAGUUUUGAUUGGUUGGGGUGACUUUUAAAGAUUGAAUAUCUUUAAAACUAUUUAAAUUGGUUCCAAUAUUAUUGAUUAAUUGAAAAAAAUACUCUAGGGAUAACAGCGUUAUUACUUUGGAUAGUUCCUAUAGAUAAGGUAGAUUGCGACCUCGAUGUUGGAUUAAGAUUCUUUUAUAAUGCAGAAGUUAUAAAAAGAAGUUUGCUCAACUUUUAAAAUCUUACAUGAUCUGAGUUCAGACCGGCGUGAGCCAGGUUGGUUUCUAUCUAUAUUAGUCUAGAUUGUCUUUAUAGUACGAAAGGAUUUAAAGGCUUGAAAUUUUUAAGAAAUUUAGAAGAAAAUUAUUUUAAUU